rnacentral:rRNA from 1 species
GAUGAACGCUGGCGGCGUGCUUAACACAUGCAAGUCGAACGGAAAGGCCUCUUUCUUGCUGUACUCGUGUUGCCAACGGGUGAGUAACUCACGCGUAACCUGCCCUCGUCUUUGACUUAGCUUCAUUAAACUAGCCCUAAUUCCUGCCAGGUACUCCUUCUGCCUGGAGGGUUUUGGAUUGUUUCGCCGGUUGGGGAUCGCCUCGCGAUUUAUCCGCUUGUCGUUGGGUUAGUGGCUUACCAAGGCUUUGACGGGUAGCCGGUCUGAGACGGUGAUCGGCCACAUAGGGACUGAGAGAAGGCACAGAUUGCUAAGGGAGGCAGAAGGGGGGAAUAUUGCAGAAUGGAUGGAAGGCUGAUGAAGCAAGGCCGUGUGCGGGAUGACGGCGUUCGGGUUGAAGACCGCUUUCGCACAUAACGAAGCAUUGUGUGACGGUAGUGAGUAAAGAAGCACCGGCUAACUACGUG